AAUUCAUCGAUACGUGAUAACUCCAUGGAUAAAAGGAUCGAAAAUACGAUCCGCAGGAAUUGAUCGCACUGAAAACUGGUAAUGGUUACAUAAUAAUUUCAUGAGGAUAAUCAAUGAUUUCGCAAUAUUGUGCAAUCAAUUUAAACGACGUACUCGUCUAAUUAAUGUGAAUUUCACGUUCGUAAGCAGUAGAUCGUACAAAUAACAGAGAGUUGCCAACUGCUGCGGUGUCCGAGCGGUUAAGGAGAUGGACUUGAAAUCCAUUGGGUUCUACCCGCACAGGUUCGAAUCCUGUCCGCAGCGAAUUUUUUUUUUCUUCUUUAUAUUACAUAAGAAGUAAUUAUCCGUACAUAGGUACGUAUAUACUUAAUGAAAAAAUGCAAAAAAGAUUUUUAAUUAAUUAUAAAUAAAAUAAUAGCGCAACUUAAUCAUUCUAUAAUAAUCUCGCGAUAUUGCGCAAUCGUUUAAACAAACGAUAGAAAUAUUAAUGUAAAUAAAUUUUCUCGUAAAAAAUUAACACGUAUGUCGCGCAAGAAUGUAACAACAUGUCUAUUAAUAAAGCCGAUAACGCAGUA